rnacentral:rRNA from 1 species
GCAGGCCUAACACAUGCAAGUCGAGCGGAUGAAGGGAGCUUGCUUCUGGAUUCAGCGGCGGACGGGUGAGUAAUGCCUAGGAAUCUGCCUGGUAGUGGGGGACAACGUUCCGAAAGGAGCGCUAAUACCGCAUACGUCCUACGGGAGAAAGUGGGGGAUCUUCGGACCUCACGCUAUCAGAUGAGCCUAGGUCGGAUUAGCUAGUAGGUGGGGUAAUGGCUCACCUAGGCGACGAUCCGUAACUGGUCUGAGAGGAUGAUCAGUCACACUGGAACUGAGACACGGUCCAGACUCCUACGGGAGGCAGCAGUGGGGAAUAUUGGACAAUGGGCGAAAGCCUGAUCCAGCCAUGCCGCGUGUGUGAAGAAGGUCUUCGGAUUGUAAAGCACUUUAAGUUGGGAGGAAGGGCAGUAAGUUAAUACCUUGCUGUUUUGACGUUACCAACAGAAUAAGCACCGGCUAACUUCGUGCCAGCAGCCGCGGUAAUACGAAGGGUGCAAGCGUUAAUCGGAAUUACUGGGCGUAAAGCGCGCGUAGGUGGUUUGGUAAGAUGGAUGUGAAAUCCCCGGGCUCAACCUGGGAACUGCAUCCAUAACUGCCUGACUAGAGUACGGUAGAGGGUGGUGGAAUUUCCUGUGUAGCGGUGAAAUGCGUAGAUAUAGGAAGGAACACCAGUGGCGAAGGCGACCGCCUGGACUGAUACUGACACUGAGGUGCGAAAGCGUGGGGAGCAAACAGGAUUAGAUACCCUGGUAGUCCACGCCGUAAACGAUGUCGACUAGCCGUUGGGAUCCUUGAGAUCUUAGUGGCGCAGCUAACGCGAUAAGU